UCAUUACUGAGUGAGCGCUCUCGGGCGCGACCUCCAACCCCAUUGUUAUCCGACCCUGUUGCCUCGGGGGUGACCCGGCCUUCGGGCCCGGGGCCCCCGGUGGACCCCAACCAAACACUGCAUCUUUGCGUCUGAGUGAUUACACAAUCAAAUCAAAACUUUCAACAACGGAUCUCUUGGUUCUGGCAUCGAUGAAGAACGCAGCGAAAUGCGAUAAGUAAUGUGAAUUGCAGAAUUCAGUGAAUCAUCGAAUCUUUGAACGCACAUUGCGCCCCCUGGCAUUCCGGGGGGCAUGCCUGUUCGAGCGUCAUUACACCACUCAAGCCUGGCUUGGUAUUGGGUGUCGCGGGAGAUCGCGCGCCCUAAAGUCACCGGCUGAGCCGUCCGUCUCCAAGCGUUGUGGCAACUAUCCGCUGGCAAGACCCGGGCGACCCGGCCGUUAAAUACCCCCAUCAAAGGUUGACCUCGGAUCAGGUAGGGAUACCCGCUGAACUUAAGCAUAUCAA
rnacentral:rRNA from 1 species